rnacentral:rRNA from 1 species
AUUGCACGCUGGCGUGAUGCUGUACACAUGCAAGUCGAACGAGUGGCUGACGGGUGUGUAAUAUAUCGGACCGUGCCCAGUAGCGGGGGAUAACUACUCGUAAUAUUGUCUAAUACCGCAUACUCUUGGAGCGCCCGAUAUCGGAUUAGCUAGUUGGUGGGGUCAUGGCUCACCAAGGCAACGAUCCGUAGCUGGUUUGAGAGGACGACGACGGCAACGGGAAAUGAGACAAGGCGAAAAAGAGUACGAGAGGCACUCAGGGGGAAUGUUGGACAGCGGGUGAAGACCUGAUCAAGCCAUGCCGCGUGGAGGAGAAGUAAAAAGGGUUGUAUAGCACUUUUGACAGAGAAGCGGUAUCUGCAGAACAAGCACCUGCUAACUACGUGCUAGCAGCCGCGGUAAUAC